AUAAUUCUUGAUUAUAAGUGUAGGUUUGGUGUUUUUCGGAUUGUAGCUGUAGUACACUGGAUUUGACUAUAUAUGCAAGUGUAAAUAAAAAUAGUGUGAGAUACUAUUUUUAUUGGACUUAGAGAAGUCAAAAAUAAGUCGGAAAUGAUAUACUGAAAUUGAAAUGAAAAUAUAUAAUUUAGAAUUUUCUAUCAGGAACGAGGCUUAUAUUCCAGCUAAAAAAUUCAGUGUUAGAAAAUUAUGAAAAUUUGAGAAUGUCGAAAUAAUUUUUUUGAGACUAGAUUUAAAGUUUUAUGUAAUUCUGACGCGCGAGCAGUGAAAAUGGAAUCUGACUGUAAUCUAAAGAUUUUAGUCGGUAGAGCUUUCAGUGACCUAAAAUGAUUCAAAACUGAAA
rnacentral:lncRNA from 1 species